CCCCCUCCGUCCAGCUAUCUAUCAAUUACAACAGCCCUUUCACCAGCAACUCAUCCCAACAGUCCCGCCAGUCAAAAUGCCAAAUAAAUUCCACUCUCAGAAAAUCAUCAUCCCUCCACUUUCAAUGCAAAACAGAUCCCAGGUGGAUUGGGUUGGGCAUCCCGCAAUGACUCCAGGGCUCUCUACUUGUGAUUGAACCAGGGACCCAUCGCACUGUUGACGUGCCUGUUGCUGUGGUGCAUCCCUACGCCAUUGGGCAUGACGGAAGGGGGAAGCCCCGCCGCCACUUGAGGGGGCGUGGUCGGAUACAACCCGUGAUUGUGCGGCGGUAGCGUGUGGGGACUCAUGAUAGGACUGCUAAGAGGGCUGCCCUUACGUUGUUGCUGAAUGGCGUGGAUCUGCCUAAGCCCUUCUUCAUGAAUGCGCGAGAUCGUCUCCAACUCUGUCAUUGAAAGUGCAUCCAGACCAGCACCGUACAGAGGAGCAUGCCUAGACAUUUCUUCCCGGAGUUGAGUAUCGAGUGAUUGGAUAUAUUCCUGCAAAGAGGAGGUGAAAUCUAAGCAACAAAGAGAAAGCAGGACAACCCAAAUUAAUACUAAAGCAUAUGCUUGAAUGAGUUGUUGGCACAAACCUGGUAGGCUUCCAAUCGUGCUUGCAUACCAUGAAUACGUUCUUCAUAUUCAGCAAUCCGCUCAUCUUUUUUCCGCUUUUCUCCUUCAGUUUGUCCCACUGUUUGUCUCAAUCUUCUAAUCUCGUCCUCAAGGGACUGCCGAAUCUGUUCUCCAGUCACAUUUUCCAUCUCGUACCGCUUCGGCUCUUCAUCAGAUCUUUUCCUCCCAGCUUCCGCACUCUUCAGCCUUUCAGCAAGGGGGUCCUUUUCCUCUGCCACUUUCUGUUCCAUUCACAUAUUUUGGUUGAAAAGACAUCAAUUAGCAUAUUUCCUAAGGCAGGAAAAAAGGAGAUAAAUCCAAUUCAUCCAACUCCACCCUGGUCAUCCAAAGCAAUUUCCCAUGCAAUCUUCUGAAAAAACACUAGCCAAUAGAUAAUAUUUUCCCCUUCUUGGAGAGAUGUAGGCAACACAUAUAAACCAAAACCAAGACCUCUUGAGACUUAGUAAGAGAAGCCAUCACUAAGCCAAAUCCUUACUCCCUCACAUGGGAAAUGCAAUGUUUAGAAAUGCACAAGUUGACAUGAAAAGAAAGCAAAAGAACUUGAUUAAGGAUAAAUAAAGCGACAGAAGCAGUGAAAGACAACCUCCAAUUCUUCACUAUGACGAGUCUUCAGCUGCAAAAUCUCCGACUCUGCAUCAUGAAGACGAUCUUGAAGGGCCUCCUUCUCAGAAGUGAGCUUUGCAAUUUCCUCCGCUCUCUCAGAGCGAAGCUCCUCAAGCUGGUUCUCUAGGUCCUGGACUUGGUCAGAUAAUUCUUUCUUUUCUCGUGCAAAACGAUCCAUCUCAGCCUCCAUCUCAGACUGCCAAUUAUAGAAAGUGUCAAACAAAAACUUGCCACGAAGAAUCGACACACCACGUCAAAGCAAUCGCAUACCUAGGUCAAGAAGUAAAACAAAUUAGUUACCGCGUGGCGUUGGACACGCGAGCACUCCUCGAAGAAGCUGCGAUCAUAAGAAACGGGAAGAGCUAAAUUAAUCCAGCUUUAACUCAUAAAAGCGUAUGAUUUUCACUUAUUCAUUGAAGCUAAAGCAGCGACUUACACUGGCAAAAUGGGAGCAAAAAGUAGAACCACUCAAAAAGCAACCCAAUCUUCGCUUUCUCUCUCUUUUUCACACACACACACACACACAAAUGUCAGAAAAAGCUGAAAAGAACAUGGAACAAUUGCCCAAGACGAAGAAAAACACCAAAACUAGCAGUCUCGAUGAAAACCCAGAAGCCACAAUCUUCACAGAAAGCCAACAGGUCGGUUCAACAGCCCAUUUCGCAGAACAAGAUCUCAUCGCGAGAAAACCCACCGCCCCCAUCCCGGAGGUAACCCAAGAAAAGAAGAGAAAAAGUCCACGCCUUCACGCGUUGACUCGACAAGAAACGCAAUAACACAGGAGGGGAAAACGCGAAAAGAGCGGAGCUCACGAGAUUGGCGUUGUUCCCGCGAGCCCAAUCAACGCGGAACUAGUGCUACCCAGAAGACCCAGAAGGUAAAAAAAACACGACGACUUCGACGAUGGAGAGAUGGAAGAAAUAGAGAGAGAGAGAGAGAGAGAGAGAGAAAAUCAGAACCUGCCACGGCCAAAUUGCAGCGCGGGAUGCGAUCGGUUGGAGAAUCUGUCCUCGGCGCAGGAGCUUUCAAUGCAUCCCCACUUCACUCAUUCCUCUCUCUCUCUCUCUCUCUCUAUAUCUGCGAAUUGUGGCUGUGGAGGGAAUCGGAGGAGAAGAAGAACAACGACGUUGUCCCUGGCUCCGCUGUUCAGUUCAGGCCAAAUGACAAAGGAACAAGAGAGAGAAAUGGAUCUUUCUAAGGCGGUGGUGGGAUGCUGCGGGAUACGUCUCUGCUGACAGUGACAGAUUUUGGCAUGUUGGUCCAAUUUUUUAAAUGAGAACGUGAAGAAGUGUUUCUUUUUCUUAAAAGAGUUAUUAUUAAAAAAAAAUCAUGAAUUGAUAAAUUUAUGAUAAAUUUACUUUACAUAAAUUUUCGUCAAAUGUGAUGGUUGACAAAUUUAUCGAUUUGAGAUUUCACCUUGGUUUGUUAGUUUAUGAUUUUCUGUGAUAUUUAUUGAACUUAAUGAAUACUAAUGGUAUGUGAGGUAGUGGGAGGAAAGAAGUACGGAAAAGAAAAAUGAAAUAAAUUUGAGACCGGGGUUUGGGGUGGAUCCUGAGAGGAUUUUUUUCUAUCAGAAAAAUAAAUAAAUGAGAUAAAAAAUAAUUUCGAAAGAUAAAAGUAUCAAAUAUUGAAUAAUGAUAAAUUUCCGUCAUUAUAUAAGAUUAUGACUUAUUUAAAUAAAUUUAUUCUAAUUUUUCAUUAAUCAUUAAUUUUAUCAAUAAUUUUUAUUAAAGUUAAAAACAUGUCUUCAAAAAUAGAUAUGCAUUAAUAUGAAUAUGUCUUUCGAAUUUUCAAUAAAUAGAUUUAUUAAUAAUAUUAUUAUAAAUUCAUUGAAGAUUCUUUUUAUUAUUUAUUUUUUUGUAAAUUUGAAUCAAAUUAAUUAAAAAUAAGAAUAUUUAUUUAAUAUACAACGUGUCUUAAAGUGUCGGAUUCUUUAUUUUUUAGAAAUGAUUUGUCGACGUAUCGUAUCGUGUCGUGUCGUGUCGUAUAUUCGCAUCGCGUGUUCGUGUCGUCAAUGCUAUAAUGUAAUUGAACCUUCGGCCACAUCCAUUCCUCCUGCCAGAUUUUUUCGAAAUGGACAAAUCCUGAUUUCCAUGCCUUCGGCCACAUUCAUCGAACCUACCCUUUGAUUGCAACGUCGGAUCAUGCCGACUAGACGCGUGAUUAGGAAUUUCAAGAAAUUGGUCAUGCUGAACGUAACUUCCUUACGGCAUAUCCCAAUGCAAAUCUUUCAAAUACAGGUAUUAAUGAAUUGGGAUGAGAAUUUUUGAACGUUAAUUUAAUGUGCAAUAUUGUUCUUAAAUGCUUAAUUUGUUCAAUGUUGUUUAUGAACUAUUCAUAAAUGUUGGAUGUUUUCCUUCAUCUUACUCAAAUGACAAAUCGGACUUCUCUAGAUGGAAUGGAUUAUUAUGAAGAUGAAUUAAUAUGUCUAUCCUUGUAUCCAUCUACUUUAAAAAAAGAGAAAUAAAAUUAUAGCGUUGAUAUACCCAUCUUUAUUUGGUGACGUGAAUUAUUAUAUCUUGAUUUCAGGUAAAUAUUUUACGUGGGUAGUUUAGGUGUAGUUUUUUUUUUUUUUUAAUUUGAGCCAUAUCAACAUAUUUUAUUAACUUGAAUUAACAGAAAUAACAAUAUUUAACAAUUUUAUAUAAUUUAUGGGCUAUAUUAAUUAUUUGCCAAUUGUUGAUAGAUCAUAUUAACGAAUUAAAAAAAUUUAGUCCAAAACUUAGGAAUCAUUUGUGUCAUUUUCCCUAAUAAAUUUAAAGGAUAGGUUCACUAAAAAUCCUAAAAUUGGUCACAAAGGUACAAUUGAGUCCUAAAAUUUAUAAAAAGUACAGCUAAGUACUAAAACUUAUCAAAUUAGUUCAAUCAAAAUCUUUCAUUAAUUCCGUCCAAUCUAACUAAUGAAAAAUGCCAACGUGGCGAUGAUGUGGCUUUUUCUAAAAGUACUUUAAUACAAAUUUAAUUUAAAUAAUUUAAAAAAAAACUAAUUUAAAAAGGUCAAAGUCUGGUAUAAUAAUCAAACGGCAUUAACCCACAAAAUACAAUCUCCCGAGCACCAGAGCGGCCGAAAUUAUCUUCAAUGUUGAAAAGGGCAACUAGGAGAAAUCGGACAAUGAUGUCGUAAGAGUAAAGUCUUUUCACGAGCUUGAUAAGGUCAACGUCCAACAUGUCCGAAGGAAAACUUUGCAGUUCAAUGGAUGAGAGAGAUUAGGAUCUUUCCGAGUACUUGACUCGAUGAAAGACGCAUGAGAUCAGGCUACAAUUGUCACAUGAUGUGUUAUUUCGGAAAGAACGAAUGAUUCGAUUUAAUUUCAUAGAUUGUGAGCAUCGCAAUGUAAUUUUCUCCACAAAGUCUCUUGAGAAAGUUAAAUCAAAUGGAGGGUAAUUAGCAUAUGAUAUCUUAGCUCUAUCGUAAAAGCAAUUCAUGUUGCUCCAACGAGAAUGAACUACGCCUUAAUUGUUUGAAAAGUCAUAAAGCUAUAUUUGGAAGUUAAUUCAAUUUUAAGUUAUUAAAUUGUGCCAAUUUAGUCAUAAACAUUUAGACAGUUUAUCAAUUUAGUCAUUUUGAUCAAUUUUGACUAGAACUCACUAAGGUCAUUCUAUGUGGCACUUGCACUAAUAUGAAUAAUUUUUUUUGUUUGUUCAUUUCUUCUUCAUCGGUCAAGAAGAGGAAAAUUUCAAAAUAAAAUAAAAUAAAAAAUUUACUCAUGCCAAUUUACCACGUAUGAUGGAUGGUUUCUACAAUAGCAAUUUUCGACCAAUAUUGCCUAGAAUGACAAUAUUAACAAUUCGUGAAAAUAUUUAUAAUUAAAUUGGUAUAAUUGAAAAUGUUAUAAUCGAACUGACUGUUAUAUAAUAGAUUUAUGAUUUUUUAGAUAAUUUUUCCAAUUAACGACAAUUGUGCAUCUCAAGAGUUGACAUUGUCAACGGCCGAAUACUUCGGGGGCAAAUCAUGUGAAUGGGAGCUCUGUGUAAAGUUGCUAGUCAAGUUCUCUACUGUCUUACGUGUUGUAUGAAUUUCAAGAUGAGAAGAUUUGAAGAUGAUGAUGAUGAUGAUGCUUAUGGAUAGAUUCGGUGGGGUCUGAAAUUUUCAAUUGCUUAGUUACCACACACAAGCGGGUAUUAUCCACUUAGAAAAAGCGUGUGACAAAGUUUCUUGCCUUGUACCCGACGUGAUAAUAAUGGAUGAGGCAAGAACCGUGACGUGGCACGUCAUUGUCUAGCUCAGCUGACUCGUUCUUCCACAGUGGACUUUUUGCAAUCAUCAAUACCUAAUCUGGAUUCUGAGGCCUAAACCAUAAGCAGUUGUCUUCCUCAGAUUUCAGCAUGAUCCACACGUUGUUUCUAAUCUGAUUUGACAUUUUGGGAUUUCUAUCGUAGAUUCGUUAAAAGGCCCGUGUUUUAUUCAAGGCCCAGCAGUUGCGGCCUCGACUCAACCGGGGCACCUCUCGUGGAUCUCUUUUUUUGGCCCAUCGUUUCUAGAAGCAGACCAGCAAUUCUUGUUACCUUGGUUCAUAUCAACUUCUGAUAUCUCCAUGUUGUCUAAAUAAGCCGGCGUUAGCUUCUAAUAAGUCACGGCGCGUUCGAGAGUUUUGAGCCAUGCUCGAGUCUUGUGGUGUCGUGUGGUGUCACCCGUGCUAAACAGAGUCGUGUGGUGUCACCCGUGCUAAACAGCUCGAAAGCAUUAGUAUUUACAAGAAAGAAAAGUUCAGACUCUUAUCAAGGUUAAGAGCUGGCAGUUUUGAGAAACUGGGUAUCUGCUCCACAAAUCACUUCUUCUUCUUCAGAGAGAGAGAGAGAGAAUAUGAGACACUUUUGCAAAAUUUGUCGGAACCUAUAAUUGAUCAUAUGAAGAAAUAUUUAAAAAGGCAGGCAUGGCAUUUUAACCGUCAGUCCCACAGGACUAGAUACCAAAUCUAAUCCCCCCCUUCUCCGUCCAGCUAUCUAUCAGUCACAACAGCCCUUUCACCAGCAACUCAUCCCAACAGUCCCGCCAGUCAAAAUGCCAAAUAAAUUCCAGUCUCAGAAAAUCAUCAUCACUCCACUUUCAAUGCAAAACAGAUCCCAGGUGGAUAGGGUAGGGCAUCCCGCAAUGACUCCAGGGCUCUCUACUUGUGAUUGAACCAGGGACCCAUCGCACCGUUGACGUGCCUGUUGCUGUGGUGCAUCCCUAUGCCAUUGGGCAUGACGGAAGGGGGAAGCCCCGCCGCCACUGGAGGGGGCACAGUCGGAUACAACCCCUGAUCGUGCGGCGGUAGCGUGUGGGGACUCACAAUAGGACUGCUAAGAGGGCUGCCCUUACGUUGUUGCUGAAUGGCGUGGAUCUGCCUAAGCCCCACUUCAUGAAUGCACGAGAUCGUCUCCAACUCUUUCAUUGAAAGUGCAUCCAGAUCAGCACCGUACAGAGGAGCAUGCCUAGACAUUUCUUCCCCGAGUUGAGUAACGAGUGAUUGGAUGCAUUCCUGCAAAGAGGAGGUGAAAUCUACGCAACAAAGAGAAAGCAGGACAAUCCAAAUUAAUACUAAAGCAUAUGCUUGAAUGAGAGUAGUUGGCACAAACCUGGUAGGCCUCCAAUCGUGCUUGCAUACUAUGAAUACGUUCUUCAUAUUCAGCAAUCCGCUCCUCCUUUUCCCGCUUUUCUCCUUCAGUUUGUCCCACUGUUUGUCUCAAUCUUCUAAUCUCGUCCUCAAGGGACUGCCGAAUCUCUUCUCGGGUAAUAUUUUCCGUCGCGUACCGCUUCGGCUCUUCAUCAGAUCUUUUCCUCCCAGCUUCCGCACUCUUCAGCUGCAAAAUCUGCGACUCUGCAUCACGAAGACGAUCUUGAAGGGCCUUCUUCUCAGAAGUGAGCUUUGCAAUUUCCUCCGCUCUCUCAGAGCGAAGCCCCUCAAGCUGGUUCUCUAGGUCCCGGACUUGUUCAGAUAAUUUUUUCCUUUCUGGUGCAACACGAUCCAUCUCGGCCUUCAUCUCAGACCGCCAAUUACAAGCAGUGUCAAACAAAAACUUGCCUCGAAGAAUCGACACACCACGUUAAGGCAAUCGCGUACCUUGGUCAAGAAGUAAAGCAAAAUAGUUAGCCUUAAGACGGGGUUGUUCGUCGCCUCAGAUUCUCACUCAGUUCCUGUGAUUACCGCAGCUUUUUCUCUAACCCUACCGGAGAUCUCGGCUUUCCUCUCUUCACGCAGGCGUGUGUGAUUUCUUCUUCCCUUGGACAAAAGCUUAGUGCCGAAGUUUUGUUCGCUGCCUCGUUUGGGACACGCGUUCGGACACGCAGUCGGACAGGUGGAAGAUUGAAGCGAGGAAAAGAAAAGUGAACUAAAUUUGAGGGACCGGGGUUUGGGAGUGGACCGUGAGAGGACUUUUUCAAUCAGAAAAAUAAAUAAAUGAGGUUAACAAAAGUGAUUUCGAAAAAUAAUAGUAUUGAAUUUUGAACAAUGAUAAAUUUUGGUCAUUGCAUAAUAUCAUAGACUUAUUUAAAUAAGUUUAUUCUAAUUUUUUAUAGGCAAUAAUAUUAUCAAUAACUUUGUUAAAGUUUAAAACAUGUCUUCAGAUAUGAAUACGCAUUAAUUAUGAAUAUGUCUUUCAAAUUUUCAAUAAAUAGAUUUAUUAAUAAUAUUAUUAUAAAUUCAUUGUAGAUUCUUUCUAUUAUUUAUUUUUUUGUGAAUUUGAAUAAAAUCAAUUAAAAAUAAGAAUAUUUAUUUAAUAGAUAACGUGUCAGAUUCUUUAUUUUUAAGAAAUAAUGUAUCAACGUGUCAUGUCGUGUUGUAUAUUUGCGUCGUGUGUUCAUGUCGCAUGUUGCAUGUCAAUGCUAUAUCGUUCUUAAAUGCUUAAUUUGGUCAAUGUUGUUUAUGAACUAUUCAUAAAUGUUGGAUGUUUUCCUUCAUCUUACUCAAAUGACAAACCGGACUUCACUGGAUGAAAUGGAUUAUUAUAAAGAUGCGCUAAUAUGUCUAUCCUUGUAUCCAUCUACUUUGAAAAAAGAGAAAUAAAAUUAUAGCAUUAAUGUAUCCAUCUUUAUUUGGUGACUCGGAUUAUUAUAUCUUGAUUUCAGGUAAAUAUUUUACGUGGGUACUUCAGGUGUAGUUUUUUAUUAUUAUAAUUUUUAUCCACCAUUCCAAAUUAACGGAUUAGGGCUUGUUUGUUAAUGUUCUUUGUUUUUGUUUAUAAACAAAAUUUCUGUUUUUUUGUUCUAGGGAACAAAAAAAGAACAGAAUCGUAUUUGUUUGUGCUUUUGUUCCAAAUCUAUUCUUUUGUUCCUAGGAACAUAUUUGGAACAGAAACAAAAAACAAGAAAAACGUGUUUCUUGUUUCUGAAACAAUUUUUAAGAACAAAAUUUCUCUCUCUUCUCUUUUUCUUCUCUCUUUUUUUUUCUUCUUUAUUUUUCUUUUUUCUUUAGCUGGUCGACGGCCUCGGCCAUGGCUGGCAAUCGGCUGUUGAGGGCUGGCGACCUUGUUGGAGCGUCGCCGCCCCCUGGCGAGGCCCAGCGUUGCCGGCCCCCGAUAAGGCUGAGCGUCACCGACCCCUGGCAAGGCUCGGCCUUGCUGGCGUGGGGCAAAGCUGGGCGAGCUCGGACUUGCCCAAAUCCGGCGAGUCCAAGCUUGCCUAGCCAAGGCGAGGUCGAGCCUCGCCCAACCACAAUGAGGCCUCGACCUCACUGGGGGCCGGUGAGCCUCGCCAUGGCUGGGUGAGGCCGUCGACCAUGGCCGAGGUCAGCAACCGGCCAAAAGAAGAAAAAAAGAAAAAAGAAAAAAGAAAGAAAAAUAAAAUAAAAAUAUUAAAAAAUUAAAAGAAACAAAAAAAAAAAAACACAAUUUUACCAAGCGUGUUUCUAUUCAAUUUUUAUUCUCGGAACAAGUUUACCAAACACGUUUUUUUGUUAAAAAAUUGUUCUCCAUAACAGAAACACUUUUUUCUAUUAGUCAUUUUGACCAAUUUUAACUAGAAAAGGUUGUUCUAUGUGGCGCUAGCACUAAUAUAAAUAAUUUUUUCAUUUUUUCCUCAUCGGUCAAGAAGAGGAAAAUUUCAAAAAUAAUAAUAAUAAUAAUAAAAUUUACUCAUGUCAACUUAUUAUGUAUGAUGGCUGGUUUCUACAAUAGCAAUUUCUGACCAAUAUUGCCCAAGAGGACUAUAUUAACAAUUCGUGAAAAUAUUUAUGAUUAAAUUGGUAUAAUUGAAAUGUUUAAAAUCGAAUUGAUUGUCAUAUAAUAUAUUUAGGAUUUUUUAGACAAUUUUUCCAUUCAACGACAAUUGUGCAUCUCAAGAAUCGGCAUAGUCAACGUCUGAAUACUUUGGGGGCAAAUCAUGUGAAUGGGAGCUCCGUGUAAAGUUGCUAGUCAAGUUCUCUGCUAUCUUUCGUGUUGUAUGAAUUUCAAGAUGAGAAGAUUUGAAGAUGAUGAGGACGAUGCUUAUGGAUAGAUUAGGUGCGGUCUGAAAUUUUCAAUUGCUUAGUUACCACACACAAGCGGGUAUUAUCCACUUAGAAAAAGCAUGUGACGGAGUUUCUUGCCUUGUACCCGACGUGAUAAUAGUGGAUGAGGCAAGAACCGUGACGUGGCACGUCAUUGUUCAGCUCAGCUGACUCGUUCUUCCACAGUGGACUUUUUGCAAUCAUCAAUACCUAAUAUGGAUCCUGAGGCCUAAACCAUAAGCCGCUAUUUUCCUCAGAUUUCAGCAUGAUCCACACGUUGUUUCUAAUCUGAUUUGACAUUUUGGGAUUUCUAUCGUAGAUUCGUUAAAAGGCCCGUGUUUUAUUCAAGGCCCAGCAGUUGCGGCCUCAACUCAACCGGGGCACCUCUCGUGGAUCUCUUUUUUUGGCCCAUCGUUUCUAGAAGCAGACCAGCAAUUCUUGUUACCAUGGUUCAUAUCAAUUUAUGAUAUCUCCAUGUUGUCUCAAUAAGCCGGCGUUAGCUUCUAAUAAGCCACGGCCCGUUCGAGAGUUUUGAGCGAUGCUCGAGUCGUGUGGUGUCACCUGUGCUAAACACCUCGAAAGCAUUAGUAUUUAUAAGAAAGAAAAGUUCAGACUCUUAUCAAGGUUAACAGCUGACAGUCUUAAGAAACUGAGAUUGCACAUGACAAAAUUUCUGAAACAUAAAUUGAUUUCUGACUAGAAAUCAAUUUCUUAAUUUCUAUUCCAUGGACAAGUUUCUAAGCAAAGAAACCCAUUUGAUAACAACUCAAAAUUUCUAUUUCUCAAACAUAAAUCCGUUUAAUAGCAGAACAAAAUUUAUAUUUCUAGGAAUAGAAAUCGAUUAGAUAACAACAUAGGAAAUCCUCAAAUACAAAAUAAUAGUCGAAAUAAUACUAAAACAAUAUAGGAAAUCCUCAAAUACAAAAUAAUAGUCGAAAUAAUACUAAUACUUUACAAAAGUUGAAAUACAAUUUCAUGGAAUUUCCGGCAUAGUAUUAUCCAUCGUCAUUUUAUUAGCAAUUGAUUUCCUAAGCAUAUUUAUUGGGUUUCCCUCAUCGGUCAAUGUAUCGUUUGCAAGUUCAUCUUGCGUAGGAUCAGACAAGUACUGCGGAAGCAUGAAUAUGGGUACUAUCAAUGGCGCCUAUACAGCAUUGUCAUUUUAUCAAAAAGUAUUAUACAAGAUUAUCAACAAAAUAAAAUUAAUUGUGUAAGGAAUAUAUGAGAAUUCUACCUUAAAGUAACGUUUAUGGUUAGGAACCAAUCGGGGGAAGGUUGGUUUAUUUUGAUUCUCGAAUUGAAUCAGUUCAGUUGCUCAUCCCUAAUUUCUUUAUUGUUGCUCAAUGAACCUUUAAUGGCCCUUCCAUAGCAAAGAGAGAGAUUCUCUUGAAUCUCUUGCCUUCGAAUUAAAAUUCAAAAUUGUGUAACAAUUUAAUUAUUUUGAUUUUGCAAGAAUUUUGAAUCCGUAAAAAAAUAAGGUUAAAUUUCUAGGUACGUUUUUUAUCCAUCUAUCACGUAAGCAUUUUUUCUUCAAUUGGUCAUGUGCGUGCCUUUUCUAGGAGGAAAUAAUCCUAUUGUUUUUAAAUAAGCUUUUAAGAACUUUGGUCGCUUUUUGAAAAUUGGGUACCCAUUCGAUUGCUUUUCAUCCUAAAGAGAAAGUUAUAAAAAAAAAUUUGAAAAAAAAAACACGAGCAAAAUAAGAAAAAGAAAAUUAACAAUAAUUUGUGAAGUUGUGGUUAUGAGUGAAUUAAGUUAGCAAGAAAGCGCAAAGUUCUUUCAUAUGGUUUGAUUUCAGUUUCUGAUUUCUAUUUCAGAAACUGAGAAAUUAAAAAUUUAAGCUUCUGAUUUCUUCAAUUUCUCUAUUUCUGGAAUAGAAAUCUAUUUCAAUAACAGAGAAAUCAAAUUACGUUACCAAAUGGAUUUCUGUUCCAAACUUGUUCCCGAGAACAGAGAAACAGAGAAAUCGAGAAACAGAAAUUUUGUUAUGGGCGCCCUGAGUAUCUGCUCCACAAAUCACUUCUUCUUCUUUAGAGAGAGAAAGUGAGAGAAUAUGAGACACUUUUGCAAAAUUUGUCGGAACCUAUAAUUGAUCAUAUGAAGAAAUAUUUAAAAAAAGCACUGUUACUCCCAUUGGACUAGACACCAAUCUAAUCCCCCCCCUUCUCCGUCCAGCUAUCUAUCAGUCACAGCAGCCCUUUCACCAGCAACUCAUCCCAACAGUCCCGCCAGUCAAAAUGCCAAAUAAAUUCCAGUCUCAGAAAAUCAUCAUCCCUCCACUUUCAAUGCAAAACAGAUCCCAGGUGGAUAGGGUAGGGCAUCCCGCAAUGACUCCAGGGCUCUACUGGUGACUGAACCAGGGAGCCAUUGCACCGUUGACGUGCCUGUUGCUGUGGUGCAUCCCUAUGCCAUUGGGCAUGACGGAAGGGGGAAGCCCCACCGCCACUUGAGGGGGCGCGUUCGGAUACAACCCGUGAUUGUGCGGCGGUAGCUUGUGGGGACUCAUGAUAGGACUGCUAAGAGGGCUGCCCUUACGUUGUUGCUGAAUGGCGUGGAUCUGCCUAAGCCCUUCUUCAUGAAUGCGCGAGAUCGUCUCCAACUCUGUCAUUGAAAGUGCAUCCAGACCAGCACCGUACAGAGGAGCAUGCCUAGACAUUUCUUCCCGGAGUUGAGUAUCGAGUGAUUGGAUAUAUUCCUGCAAAGAGGAGGUGAAAUCUAAGCAACAAAGAGAAAGCAGGACAACCCAAAUUAAUACUAAAGCAUAUGCUUGAAUGAGUUGUUGGCACAAACCUGGUAGGCUUCCAAUCGUG
rnacentral:lncRNA from 1 species